GCCCGGGUAGCUCAGUGGCAGAGCAGCGCACUCGUAAUGCGCAGGUCGUGGGUUCAAAUCCCACCUCGGGCU
rnacentral:tRNA from 1 species